rnacentral:snoRNA from 1 species
CCGGCAUGUGGGGACAUUUUUUGAUGAGGUCCUUUAAUCUUUCCCAUGCCUCAUGGAACUGUUCACUAUCUUGCUGUGAAAAGCUAGUGAGAGCUCAUCUUAUCUG